UUUGUGGUGUUACAGGCUAUUCAUCAUUUGUCAGGAAAAAUUCCUGGCUGCUUCAUACACUUACUGAAAGCCAAGCACAUUUCCUUGACUCAUUUUGGGUAUUGCGCAAAGGAAACACAUGUUAAAGUGGCAGUGUUUGAAGGAAGAACUCGGCGUAUGCUAAUGAUAAGGAUUGUCAUCAUGUGGGCCAAUCCAAAGGAAAGGAUGAGACUGCAUUCUGAUUUUAUGUACAGAGUAAGCCAAUAGUAUUUCUAUUGCCCUAAAGAGAGGAUUGCUACGAGUUGCUCUGUUAUGUUUUCAUGAUUGUUUUAUUAUUCAUUGGUGUUGUGGUAGCAUCCAGUGGCCUCACUCAUGAGUCAGGCUAGUAGAAUGAUGGAUGUGCUGCACCCAUUCAAGAAAGUGUUCUAUUAGCGUCCUGUCAGCAACUGUAUAUGACAGCAAGAUGGAAAUGGAGACCAGAACUGCGUGAUGGAGAGGCAAUUAUUACAAUAAUCUCAGUUAUUCUACGGUAUCAUUGAUGAGAAUGUAGUGAUUGGUAUUGAAAGAUAAGACAUAUUCCACAUUUCCUCCAUGCUUGCUUACUUAAGGUUUGCAUUUUUAAUGCUGCAAGUGUCUCAAUUGCAAUCAUAUCAUUGGGUUUAUCCCAGAGCCGUAUUUAUUGGGCACUAGUACUUUAUUUUCUACCCAUUCCUUUUCAGAUCCCAUGGUUUCCAGAGAUUUUUCCACUGUCAGUUAAAGUUCAGAACAGUCUCCCCAGCAAAAACAAGACAAGAGUGCUGUAAUACCUUUGAAUUGAAGCACGUCUCAAGCCUACAGUCAAUGCGCGCCUGUGUAUGGACCCACAAGCUGAUGCCCCACAGCCUGCCCAGCUCCCUGGCCACCUCAGAUCAACCUCAGUGUUCUCUCAGCCUUGAGAACCCCGCAGCUCCCUGGCCUAAAAGCUCAGAUCAACAUUGCACACACCCCAAAGGCAGCCAGACCUUGAGGAGGGCGGAUGCUCUUAGCACCUCGAGAGACCAGGGAGCUGCAGUGUGCAGCAUAGGAGCAGCUACAGAAGUGCUGAAGCUCAGCGUUAAAAAGGACAUCAUGGCAGCUGUGAAGAGUCCAGCAGCACAAGUAGGUUAAUGGUGCUGGUGUGAUCUGUCACAGAUACACCUUACUGAAGACUGACAUGCCUACGACAAGACUUGGAUGAUAAUGGUCUGUCUGGUUUAUGGAAAAAGUGAGGAAAAAAUUGCCAAGCAGCAGCAUUAAACCAAUGGUGCCUCUCCGGUCAGUUUUCUCUGGUCUGGCUGUCUCCUGUUUCCUGAAGUUUUGAAUCUAGGAGCUGUUACAGACAGAAGGUUUGGGAUAUAUGCACUGCUCUCAGUUUCCAGUGAAAUGGAUGGGAACUGGGACACUUUCAGCAGCAAGCUGCUUCUGACCAUGCACUGGGAGUCCCCAUCUCCUGAUACCCAGAAGCAGAAGAAAGGCCAUGUGCUGCCAUCUGAGGAAAGGUUGGGUUUAGCAUUAUACUCCUGUAGAGCAAAACUGGAUCCUGGAAACUCCACCCAGCUCUCUGACUUUACUUGCAUUACACUCUUUGUAGUGAAUUGAGGCUGACUGGACUGGGUGCUCUGCGGUAUUCUGCAUUCAUUUAAGCCUUCACAACACAGACAGAAUGGCUGCUCUGGCCAUUGCCAAGCAAGUGAAAGCAAGAUGUUCUAUCGGGCACUUUCUAUAUCCAGCACACUGCUGUCUUCAUCUUUGGAUGCCUGAGUAUCCUAAACAUGCCUGGAUAUCUUACUAUUAAAUUAUGAGUGAGAAACUGAUUAAUUGUUCCCUGACCUUCAGUUUCUUCAUUGAGACUGUGUCACCAAACAAUAUUUUAUGUCACCAGGAGACAGCAGAUGUAAAUCAAAUAUCUGCCUGCUCCAGAAUAUCUAACAAGGGAGGAAAUUACUUCCAUCCGUUAACACAGCAGAUUUUAGAGAGGAUUUUCUGCCUUCCAAAUUCAGUUUUAAAAUGCAGGCUCACUGCACAGGCACAGGUCUGCCUGUUGGUGUCCAGCACAAGGGGCAUUGCCUCAGUUUGCCUGCAGCACUGGCAAGAACAACCUGCCGCUGUCUCCCAUCGUCUAAAUGUUUUUUUAUGACUAUGUAAAUUAAAAACUGUAAGUGAAAAUAUCCAAGAUGAAUUUAGGUUCUGGGUUUCUCUAGAAGGAAAUGUAGCGGGUAUCCUUUCUCAGUAAAUUCUAACAGAAUAAAAUAUAACAUAUAAUAAAUUCUCAAUAAAAUCUAAUUCUCAAUAAAUCUCUUCAUCGGGGACUGUAGCGCUAGGACAAGAGGUAAUUGGUUCAAACUGAAACAGGGGAAGUUCAGGUUAGAUCUAAGGAAGAAGUUCUUUACUGUAAGGGUGGUGAGGCACUGGAACGGGUUGCCCAAGGAAGUUGUGAAUGCUCCAUCCCUGCCAGUGCUCAAAGGCCAGGUUGGACAGAGCCUUGGGUGACGUGGUCUAGUGUGAGGUGUCCCUGCCCAUGGCAGAGAGCUGGAACAAGGUGAUCUUAAGGUCCUUCCCAACCCAAACCAUUCUAUGAUUCUAAAUUAAAUGAUAACUCAACUGGCUCUAAAGAAGGCUGUCCCCCAUGCACUUCACUUCUGCUGUCCAAGACUGAACAUGCAGUAAGUAGAGAGGGGACUUUCUUCCCCAAAUAAUUAGCAAGAAAUGACAAUGGGCCUUGGAUCUCUGAGAGCACCCGUGAUUACAGCACAUAACAUCUGCAUACCUUAACUGGGAUGCCAAUGCCUUUGCAUGCAAUGGGGAGAGAGCAGUGCUCUGCCCCCCAUGCCAUCUUGUGCCCCUACUUUGCUCAGGUACGCUGGGCAUAGCAGCCCCCACUGAACCUGGUGCAUUUACCAGGUGCCCUGUGGCAGUGCUUUGUAAGUUCUUUCCCUUGUUUUGUCCUUUUAGGUUUUUGCAUCGGCAGCAUUCAACACUACCAGUUCACUCUAUUAGCAUGGUCUUUGGGCUCAGCUGUAUGAGGCAGUAUUUUCAACUCGCAUCAGCUCCAAAGCAAGUGCAAAAAAACCCCAGUAACAACAACAAAAGGACUUAGAGGAAAAAAAAAUCAAGCUCAGGACUAGCCUUGUUGUUGUGCUGUCCAUGUGCAUUCAUUUUUCAGUUCAGAUUAGUCAUGCACUUAAGGGAUAGGAAGUUCACAAAAGGGCAGCCAAAUCUCAUGUUCAGAACCGGGGCGCUGGAAGGAAAAACCAGCAUGCGAACCAGACAAAUACGAGCCCACGAUUGCAUUGAAAUCUCAAAGGUUAAUGCAAGAUGUGUUCAGAACUGCUUUUGGUGGGGAAAAAAAGCCCAGCCUGUGCCAUGCAAUUACACAUUAAAGCUCUGUGGAAAAGAUUUGUUUACUGAAUGAGAAAGGCACACACGCCAGGCUGCUGGGCCGAGAGUCCUGUGCAAUCAUCACAGGCUGCAACACAAACACAACAGUCUGAAGACCUUUGACAUUUGAUGAGUGCUUUUCUCUUACAGAGUGAGGUGAGUUUGGACCUUAAAAGGAAAAUGAGCUAAGCUGCUUUAAUUAGUAGGGCCAGAGAGAAAGAAAUGAAGAAUGACUCUGGAGAGAGGUAAGUACAUGCAAAAGCUCGCAGGGAAACUGAUGCCAAGCAGAUUGGAAUAAAUAUCAACUAUAGAUGGACUCAUGCGUGCAGAUGCCAAAACCAACUGUUUCUAUGUAAUUCCAAAAAGGAAAUGCAAAAGAACUUCAAAAGCACAAAUCUGUGAUAACUGGGAAACACUCUACUUGAGUAUAUUUACCUAUUGGCACGGUCAUAAAGAAUUGAUUCUGCUCUCUCAGAAACAACAGCUGUUCACUGCUUAAGGCUGUUACUGGAUUUGCACCAUGUAACCUAGCACAAAAGAGACCCAACUUUAUGCUAUUGUGGCCCAUCUGUACUGGGCCUUGAUCCACACAGCUCCGUCAGUACGAUUAGUGGUGAGCUAGCCAGCAACACUAGUGACAAAUGUGACUAGACAGAAAGUUGUCUCAGAUGCACAAAGAAAAUGAAAAAUACCAGCAAUCUGUGGGGCUAUUUUCAGGCAAAUGUGAUUUGUGAGGUGGUGGUUGCUUCACAGGCAGCGAGUCACGGAAGCUUAGCCUCUGCAGCAUCUUCCUUAGGCAGCACUUCCCAUAGCAGUAUCAGGUGUAGAUAAGAGCAGUGUUUUAGGGCUUGUGCUGAUAGCACAGUGAGCAGAACCUGCUGUCAAGCCAGAACAGGUAGGGAGAACACAGGCCAUACGAAAGGGAAACACACUUCAUGUCAGAAAGGUUGGACUCUCAGAUGCGGAUGAAGCCAGAAGCAGUGUGACAUCCUGCCCCAUGUUACCCGGCAUAAAAGCAGGAGUGGAAGCAGCACUGGUUGAAGCUUGGCUACACUGGGCAUCAAGUGAGAUGGAAUGAGAUGCAGCACAACUGCUGUAUCUUUCUAUCCUGGUAUUCUGGUAUAAAGACUUAUUUAGGUUAUUAUUCUGAUGCCUGCAGGAAUCUUCCCGUAUGAAGAAGCAAAUGUUUUUUCUCUAUUAUAUGCUUUGUUAAUAAAACACUUUGAAGAUUCGUAGGUUAACAUU